UCAAUAUUGUUUAAUAUCCAAUAGAAUUAUACUCACCGUUAACCUAAAUUAAAUAUGCUAAUGUUGCCUUUUUUGAAAUGCUUACCCUUUUUUGUAGCAAUGCAUGUAAAUUAACCCACCUGUGUUUUCUGUUUGAAGGUUCUUCACCUCUAUCUGUAUCACAUGAAUCACCUGUGCAACUGGUCAAAUAAGAAAGAAAAAUGAGCUCAGAAUCUGUCAGAGUGUUUCCAUCCAGAGUCCAGCUGUACUGAGGACUGUCCCCUUCCGCUAUGAGACAGGACACCUUCAGCUCUAACUUGGACAGACACUCGGUAACCAGCUGGACAGAGGACACAGGAGCUGAAGGAGAGACAAUAAAGUGUGAAAUGGUAAUAAAA